GAAUAUGAAGCGAUAAUUUGCAGUUAGUUUCGACCUAAUCUUAGGUACAUUUACCCUUAUUCU
rnacentral:tRNA from 1 species